UACGGAGGGUGCAAGCGUUAUCCGGAUUCACUGGGUUUAAAGGGUGCGUAGGCGGCUUGAUAAGUCAUUGGUAAAAGCUCGCAGCUUAACUGCGAAACUGCCAUUGAAACUGUCAAGCUUGAAUGUGGUUGAAGUGGGCGGAAUACAACAUGUAGCGGUGAAAUGCUUAGAUAUGUUUUAGAACACCGAUUGCGAAGGCAGCUCACUAAGCCAAUAUUGACGCUGAGGCACGAAAGCGUGGGUAGCAAACAGG
rnacentral:rRNA from 1 species